AGUGGCGCACGGGUGCGUAACGCGUAUGCAACCUACCCUUUACAGGGGGAUAGCUCGGGGAAACUCGAAUUAAUACCCCAUGGUACCAUAAAACCGCAUGGUUUAAUGGUUAAAGAUUUAUCGGUAAAGGAUGGGCAUGCGUCUGAUUAGUUAGAUGGCGGGGUAACGGCUCACCAUGACGAUGAUCAGUAGGGGUUCUGAGAGGAUGAUCCCCCACACUGGUACUGAGACACGGACCAGACUCCUACGGGAGGCAGCAGUAGGGAAUAUUGGUCAAUGGGCGAGAGCCUGAACCAGCCAUGCCGCGUGUAGGAUGACGGCCUUCUGGGUUGUAAACUACUUUUCUACAGGAAGAAAAAGUCCAUGCGUGGACAAUUGACGGUACUGUAGGAAUAAGCACCGGCUAACUCCGUGCCAGCAGCCGCGGUAAUACGGAGGGUGCGAGCGUUGUCCGGAUUUAUUGGGUUUAAAGGGUGCGUAGGCGGCUCUUUAAGUCAGUGGUGAAAGCCCGCAGCUCAACUGCGGAACUGCCAUUGAUACUGGAGAGCUUGAGUACGGUUGAAGUAGGCGGAAUUUAUGGUGUAGCGGUGAAAUGCAUAGAUACCAUAAAGAACACCGAUAGCUUAGGCAGCUUACUAAGCCGUAACUGACGCUGAGGCACGAAAGCAUGGGGAGCGAACAGGAUUAGAUACCCU
rnacentral:rRNA from 1 species